rnacentral:rRNA from 1 species
UACAGAGGCCUCAAGCGUUGUUCGGAUUCAUUGGGCGUAAAGGGUGUGUAGGUGGCGCCGUAAGUCGGGUGUGAAAUUUCGGAGCUUAACUCCGAAACUGCAUUCGAUACUGCGGUGCUUGAGGACUGGAGAGGAGACUGGAAUUCAUGGUGUAGCAGUGAAAUGCGUAGAGAUCAUGAGGAAGACCAGUGGCGAAGGCGGGUCUCUGGACAGUUCCUGACACUGAGGCACGAAAGCGUGGGGAUCAAACGGG